UGCAGUCGUACGAUGAACCACUGUCGGUGGGGAUUAGUGGCGAACGGGUGAGUAACACGUGGGCAAUCUGCCCUUCACUCUGGGACAAGCCCUGGAAACGGGGUCUAAUACCGGAUAUCACUCUUGCAGGCAUCUGUGAGGGUCGAAAGCUCCGGCGGUGAAGGAUGAGCCCGCGGCCUAUCAGCUUGUUGGUGAGGUAACGGCUCACCAAGGCGACGACGGGUAGCCGGCCUGAGAGGGCGACCGGCCACACUGGGACUGAGACACGGCCCAGACUCCUACGGGAGGCAGCAGUGGGGAAUAUUGCACAAUGGGCGAAAGCCUGAUGCAGCGACGCCGCGUGAGGGAUGACGGCCUUCGGGUUGUAAACCUCUUUCAGCAGGGAAGAAGCGAAAGUGACGGUACCUGCAGAAGAAGCGCCGGCUAACUACGUGCCAGCAGCCGCGGUAAUACGUAGGGCGCAAGCGUUGUCCGGAAUUAUUGGGCGUAAAGAGCUCGUAGGCGGCUUGUCACGUCGGGUGUGAAAGCCCGGGGCUUAACCCCGGGUCUGCAUUCGAUACGGGCUAGCUAGAGUGUGGUAGGGGAGAUCGGAAUUCCUGGUGUAGCGGUGAAAUGCGCAGAUAUCAGGAGGAACACCGGUGGCGAAGGCGGAUCUCUGGGCCAUUACUGACGCUGAGGAGCGAAAGCGUG
rnacentral:rRNA from 1 species